rnacentral:lncRNA from 1 species
AGCAGUUUGUGAGAAUGCUGCCUAAUAGGCUUCUGACAGAGCCAGCUGGCCCUCAAGCUCAUCAAAGCAGAAAUCAUUACAAAGCCCAAACCAUACAGACCAAAACU